rnacentral:lncRNA from 1 species
AAAUAAAUAAAAUAAGUCUAACUAUAAAUAUUGUAUAACUCAUACAAGUUUUUUUGUAUCAAUAACUCAUACAAGUUUUUUUGUAUCAAUAUAACUCAUACAAGUUGAAAUAAAUAAAUUCAAGUGUUACAAGAUUUUUUUUAAUAACUUUAAAUUUAUUUUGGCUAGAGAAUUUGCCUCAGGAUAACUUUGUAUAACGAGGUGAUAUCAAGGAGAUAUCCAGUACUGAUUCGAGUCAAAAAUAAUAAAAUUGUUAAAUUAUAUUUGCGGCCGACUCAAAAAAUGGGAUACUGGGAUAGCGGACAGCAGAUAUCAGGAUAAAUUUUUGUACUAAAAUAAUUAUAUAAUAAUCUAUAAAAAUAUGUCAUAUACUUAAUGUAAAACUAAUGUUAUAUAAUAAUCCACAAUAAAAACAUUAGCACACCAGUAGAAGUAGAAAAGAGAAUAAAAAUUAACAUAAAAAUAAAAGUAGAAGUAGACAAGAUAAUAAAAACCGAGAACUUACAAUAUAAAAACAAAACAGAGUAGGAGGAGGAGUGGAGGAGAUGGGGGCCGGCCGGAGAGAGGCAGACAGCAGUGCUAGGGCAGAAAGCACAAGUGUUCGCAACGCUAGGGCAGAAAGCAGAAGAGGAAGUGUUCGCAGCAGCGCUGGGGCAGAAAGUAGAAGAGAAAGUGUUACUCUUAACCUCGAAAUUGAAAUGGAAUCCUAAAAGUGAAAUGAGAAGCAGCGCUAGGGCAGAAAGUAGAAGAGAAAGUGUUACUCUUAACCUCUAAAUUGAAAUGGAACCCUGAAAGUGAAAUGAGAAGUGGCAGAUUUUGCAGUGAAAUGAGAAUGAAACAACUUUUCACUCUUCAGCCUUUAGACAUUCUUUUGUGCAAAAACCUGCAUAAAAAAAUUGAAAUUAGAAUAAGUUAUUCUACCCUAGCUCCAUGAUAAAAAAUCAUAAAAAUAAAAUGUAAUUAAAUUGCAGUUAGGUGUUGUUUGGUGUACUAGACUACUAGUUUACCUAACAUCAUUGCUAAGUUGCUAAAUAGAAACAACUUCUAUCCUUUUUAACCGGUUAACAGAACCGAGCCAUUCAAAUUAACCAAACUGCAUAAAUCAUGUGACAAGGUUAAGUUCAAAUAUCUUCGCCAUUUAAGUUGCUUUUGAAAAAAUUAGUAGAAACGGAACAAUAACUAACUGAGCUAACUCUUCAAACACUAUUACUAGUUUCUACUAAUUCAUAACCAAGUUAACAUUUUUAUUAAGGCCAAUCUCAUGCUAAGACUAACAAGUUCAAUACAGUUAACAGAGUUACAACUUAACGGUUUUGUCCAAGCUAAUAACUAACUUCAAAGUUAACUAACUAACAGUGAUAAAUUGCUAACGUCUAACUGUAAUUUCAAUUCACUGCAAUUUCAAACAAUUCACGAAUUCCAAGGAAAUUAAACCGUUCACGCAAUUCAGGAAGCAUAGCAAAUUCGAGCUCUUAGACCAAGACCUAGUGCGCAAGUCUCCAGAAUUCAAUCAAUAAAGAAACAGAAGUAGAAUAAAUAAAAGCUCAAAGCACAUACCAGAUUUCAUAACAAGAUUUCGU